CUUUGUUCCACUUGCUGUCAUCUAGGAAGGCAGAAGAAGCGAUAACGUACUCACAAUGGCAAAACACAACAUAAGCCUGGCGAUUGCCAUCGUGCUGGCAUUGGUCUUCUUCAUCAUCACUAUGGUGUUCACUGCUCUGGCGGGGCCGGGGAUAUAUCCAUUUUUGUCAACGACCCGUAACAUUUCAGAUGAGUUUGUAACCCAGAUCACACCAGCAGGGUGGACUUUUACUAUCUGGUCGAUCAUUUACAUCUUUCUGGCUUCAGUGUUGGUGUAUCUCAUCUCCGGUAUCUUCAGAAAGAAUGCAUACGGUUACGUCUACUGCAGCCCGGCUAUUUUGCCACAUGGAUUCUUUGUGGUUUGGUGCUUGAAUCUGGGCCUCAAUACUGCCUGGUUGUUCCUGUGGGACAGAAAGUUGAUGCCUGUUGCACUGGCUUUCCUCAUCCUAAUUGCCUUGAGUAACUACGCCCUGAUAUUCUUCUCCUGCCACGGUCUCCACAUCUAUGGAGCCUGGCUCAACAAGUACCACAAAGUAGACCUGUGGCUUCACCGUGUGUUGGUUCAGAACGGUAUUGCCAUAUAUGCAACAUGGACAACCAUUGCAUCCCUCGUCAACCUGACCAUCGUGCUGGAUCACGAUGCAAAUAUGUCCCCGGCGGACGCUGCCACCGUCUCACUCUCGGUUUUGACUGUACUGUUGUCUGUGUGGUUUUUCCUCGAAAACUUUGUCCUCGACAAACACGUGAGGUACAUUGUGAGCAUUUACCCCGCUGUGAUCUGGGCAGUGACGGGAGUGUUCACGAAAAACAACGAUGCUGCAGAUCCUAGUCGCAAUAACAUCUUCCUUUGUGAGGAACUUUUAAAACAUCUUAAUCAAUCUCAAUUGCAUCCACUGUGUUUAUACAUUCACUAUUCCACAAAUACUGCAUAACUUGUGAUUGAUUUUGUGUACAUGCAUAAAGGGAUCAAACCCAACUCCAGGGGACAGACAGUAUGCACACUAAUACUUCUCUCUGAUAUUUUCUUUCCACUCUAGCUGCUCUCUUGGCCGUAGCCUGCACGUUGUGUGCUGCACGGUUUUUCUUGGUCAUUUGGAGGCACAUCAAAAAUCCAUUUUACGAAGACCUCAGCCCAGAGAGCAUGUCUCCGAUGGAGAUCGCUGAGAAUCAGAAAAAGAUAUUUCAGUAAAGAUUUUAAUGGAUACUUUUAUGAUAAACCUUUUUAUAUCCAUACAGUAUUGGUUCUGGAUGAGGUGCAUUUCUAAAUGCUUUCUAUGUAUUGUAAUGUAUGACUGUUUUACCUGGGAGUAAAUUAAAUUAUAUGAUGCUGAGGUCCAAUUUAAGUUUGCCUCAUGUACUCAGCUUUAAAUACAUUGUUUACUUAAACUACACUUUCAGUUGUAAUGAGAUGCUAAAUUAAUUGAACUGUAUUCUUCUUACGGAUAUGAAAAAAUGGAAGUCACUGUUUGUUUUUGUAAAUGCGUUUUAACCUUUAUUUUGUAUCCUUUAAAAAAAUUAAUAUUGCUUUCCUCCAAUGUUAUGCUUUCGUUGAAUCAUUUGUGGUAUAUAAGAGAUAAGAAAUACUGCAACUGUUUAAAUCAAUUGUGCAAUCAUUUCCCUGGUAGUUCACUGAAGUAGCUGUUAGGUUGUAGUGGAUUUUAUAUAUAUUUGCACAUGUAGAUAAGAGAAGUUUAUGUUUUAAAUUAAUACAUAAAGAAAGAUAUGAUAAUUAAUUUGGGAUAUUAUGAGGAAUAUUCUGGAGGAAUGUAUUGUGAAACAUAAGAGAGGAUCACUGUUUUAUUAUUCUGUUUUAAUGACAAAUGUAAUUAUUAACUGUAUGAUGCAUGGGAAUGAAUGAAUGUUUUAUUGUUUAGACAAUAGUUAAAAUGGAUGCCGAUUGAAACCUAAUGUGUUGCUUUUAUUCUGAAGGGGGAACUUCCUGUCCUUGACCGGAAGAGUGAGCUUUGACCCCGCUAAUUUAUCAAUUGGCUUAGCGAACAGAACUGCGGCAUCCUUUGAACUGACCAAUGGAACUAACCUUUAGGUGUGAAUUCAUUUGCAUGACCAUACUAAUAGCCGAGCAUUUGUUCUGAGGAGACAUGGUUCUACUGGUCUGGAGACUCGAGACAGCCCCGGUCUGUGGCUCCUUGGGAGCUGCAGUCCGUCUGUGGAGAGUUCCUCCUUUCUGGCCCCACGAUCGUGAACGCUACAUGAGUA
rnacentral:lncRNA from 1 species